rnacentral:rRNA from 1 species
CACACGACCGUACCGCAAACCGACACUGGUGCGCGAGAUGAGUAUUCUAAGGCGCUUGAGAGAACUCAGGAGAAGGAACUCGGCAAAUUGACACCGUAACUUCGGAAGAAGGUGUGCCUUUAGUAGGUAAAGGGAUUUACUCCCGGAGCCCAAUGAGGUUGCAAAAAAUCGGUGGCUGCGACUGUUUAAUAAAAACACAGCACUCUGCAAACACGAAAGUGGACGUAUAGGGUGUGACGCCUGCCCGGUGCUGGAAGAUUAAAUGAUGGGGUGCAAGCUCUUGAUUGAAGUCCCAGUAAACGGCGGCCGUAACUAUAACGGUCCUAAGGUAGCGAAAUUCCUUGUCGGGUAAGUUCCGACCUGCACGAAUGGCGUAACGAUGGCCACACUGUCUCCUCCUGAGACUCAGCGAAGUUGAAAUGUUUGUGAUGAUGCAAUCUCCCCGCGGAAAGACGGAAAGACCCCAUGAACCUUUACUGUAGCUUUGUAUUGGACUUUGAACAGAUCUGUGUAGGAUAGGUGGGAGGCUUUGAAGCAGGGUCGCUAGAUCUUGUGGAGCCAACGUUGAAAUACCACCCUGGUGUGUUUGAGGUUCUAACCUAGGCCCGUUAUCCGGGCUGGGGACAGUGCAUGGUAGGCAGUUUGACUGGGGCGGUCUCCUCCCAAAGCGUAACGGAGGAGUUCGAAGGUACGCUAGUUACGGUCGGACAUCGUGACGAUAGUGCAAUGGCAUAAGCGUGCUUAACUGCGAGACUGACAAGUCGAGCAGAUGCGAAAGCAGGACAUAGUGAUCCGGUGGUUCUGUAUGGAAGGGCCAUCGCUCAACGGAUAAAAGGUACUCUGGGGAUAACAGGCUGAUACCGCCCAAGAGUUCAUAUCGACGGCGGUGUUUGGCACCUCGAUGUCGGCUCAUCUCAUCCUGGGGCUGUAGCCGGUCCCAAGGGUAUGGCUGUUCGCCAUUUAAAGAGGUACGUGAGCUGGGUUUAAAACGUCGUGAGACAGUUUGGUCCCUAUCUUCCGUGGGCGCUGCAGAUUUGAGGAAGCCUGCUCCUAGUACGAGAGGACCGGAGUGGACACACCUCUGGUGUAUCGGUUGUCACGCCAGUGGCAUUGCCGAGUAGCUAUGUGUGGAAGAGAUAACCGCUGAAAGCAUCUAAGCGGGAAACUCGUUUCAAGAUGAGAUCUGCCGGGGCCUUGAGCCCCCUAAAGAGUCGUUCAAGACCAGGACGUUGAUAGGUCAGGUGUGGAAGCGCAGUAAUGCGUUAAGCUAACUGAUACUAAUUGCUCGUGCGGCUUGACCA